rnacentral:misc_RNA from 1 species
GAAAUGCGAUAAGUAAUGUGAAUUGCAGAAUUCAGUGAAUCAUCGAAUCUUUGAACGCACCUUGCGCUCCUUGGUAUUCCUUGGAGCAUGCCUGUUUGAGUAUCAUGAAAUCUUCAAAGUAAAUCUUUUGUUAACUCAAUUGGUUUCUACUUUGGUAUUGGAGGUCUUUGCAGCUUCACACCUGCUCCUCUUUGUUCAUUAGCUGGAUCUCAGUGUUAUGCUUGGUUCCACUCGGCGUGAUAAGUUAUCUAUCGCUGAGGACACUGUAAAAGGUGGCCAAGGUAAAUGCAGAUGAACCGCUUCUAAUAGUCCAUUGACUUGGACAAUACUUUUAUGAUCUGAUCUCAAAUCAGGUAGGACUACCCGCUGAACUUAAG